UAGACGCUGAGAGAGGAGCUUGCUCUUCUUGGAUGAGUUGCGAACGGGUGAGUAACGCGUAGGUAACCUGCCUUGUAGCGGGGGAUAACUAUUGGAAACGAUAGCUAAUACCGCAUAACAAUGGAUGACACAUGUCAUUUAUUUGAAAGGGGCAAUUGCUCCACUACAAGAUGGACCUGCGUUGUAUUAGCUAGUAGGUGAGGUAACGGCUCACCUAGGCGACGAUACAUAGCCGACCUGAGAGGGUGAUCGGCCACACUGGGACUGAGACACGGCCCAGACUCCUACGGGAGGCAGCAGUAGGGAAUCUUCGGCAAUGGGGGCAACCCUGACCGAGCAACGCCGCGUGAGUGAAGAAGGUUUUCGGAUCGUAAAGCUCUGUUGUAAGUCAAGAACGAGUGUGAGAGUGGAAAGUUCACACUGUGACGGUAGCUUACCAGAAAGGGACGGCUAACUACGUGCCAGCAGCCGCGGUAAUACGUAGGUCCCGAGCGUUGUCCGGAUUUAUUGGGCGUAAAGCGAGCGCAGGCGGUUUGAUAAGUCUGAAGUUAAAGGCUGUGGCUCAACCAUAGUUCGCUUUGGAAACUGUCAAACUUGAGUGCAGAAGGGGAGAGUGGAAUUCCAUGUGUAGCGGUGAAAUGCGUAGAUAUAUGGAGGAACACCGGUGGCGAAAGCGGCUCUCUGGUCUGUAACUGACGCUGAGGCUCGAAAGCGUGGGGAGCGAACAGGAUUAGAUACCCUGGUAGUCCACGCCGUAAACGAUGAGUGCUAGGUGUUGGAUCCUUUCCGGGAUUCAGUGC
rnacentral:rRNA from 1 species